AGAAGAACUCAACAUUGAGCCAACAGAUCUGAUGAAUCGGGACAAGCAGGAUAAGAUUCCGAGCAUGCAGGUGUCGUUCAUUGAUGCCAUCUGCACACAGCUGUAUGAGACCCUGGCCAGUAUGUCUGAGUCCUGUUCCCCACUA